GGUGAGAUGGCCGAGCGGUCUAAGGCGCCACGUUAAGGUCUUCCUUAAUCAACAUCUACUUGUAGAUUCCGUGGUCCGAAAGGGCGUGGGUUCGAAUCCCACUCUCAUCA
rnacentral:tRNA from 1 species